CCCUGAGGCUGCUUGUUGACUGAAGGC
rnacentral:piRNA from 1 species